UACGUAGGUGGCAAGCGUUAUCCGGAAUUAUUGGGCGUAAAGAGCGCGCAGGUGGUUAAUUAAGUCUGAUGUGAAAGCCUUCGGCUUAACCGGAGUAGUGCAUUGGAAACUGGGAGACUUGAGUGCAGAAGAGGAGAGUGGAACUCCAUGUGUAGCGGUGAAAUGCGUAGAUAUAUGGAAGAACACCAGUGGCGAAAGCGGCUCUCUGGUCUGUAACUGACGCUGAGGUUCGAAAGCGUGAGUAGCAAACAGG
rnacentral:rRNA from 1 species